GGUAGAGGUUAGAGGUCAGGGAGAGGUCAGAGGUCAAGGAGUCUGUAGAGGUCACAACCCUCCCCUCUCCAACACACUGGAGGACAAAGGGAAAAAUACAUGCCGGAUCCAAAGCAACAGACCUGUGAUUGGGCAAUAGGGCUGAGUGACUUGACCUGACAUCUAGAAAUUUCUAUGCUCUUGGAGCAAAACCUAAAAAAAAAAAAAAAAAAGAAAAAAAAAAGAGAGAGAGAGACCUCACAGACAGGCUCUGGAUCACAGAUGGGGAAACUGAGGUUUUAAAUGUUGAGUCAGAGCAGGACGGCCCACAGCUGUUCCCGGUAGAGCUGGAGGUGGGCCCAACAUCCUGAGGCACCCCCAUCUGGUGCUCAUUUGUCCCUAUGCUCUUUAGGAAGUGACUUCAGGUUAAAGAAAAGGCAAACAUCUGGAAGCCUUUGGACGUGAGGUGGGCUGGCUAGGCUGUGUAAACAGGCUCUGGGCUCCAGAAGACAGUGAAAUCAGUGCUCUGAAGGAUCUACAGGCUCUCUAACAGAACAGAGAGUGCUGUGGGCCUGCUCUGUCUAUCCCUAGCCAUCCCAGUGGGGACCAUGGCAUGCAGGCCAGGAUAGCUGUUGCUGAGGUCUGGUGCCGUGACACCUCUGCUAAGGUUUCUUGCUCCCUUGCCUCCAGGUGUUGGUCUUCCAGGUGUAUACCCAGGCGGAGUGCUCCCAGGAACAGGAGCUCGGUUCCCUGGUGUGGGGGUGCUCCCUGGAGUUCCCACUGGCACAGGAGUCAAAGCCAAGGCUCCAGGUAUGUAUAACCAACUGUGCUGGGGGCCAGGGUAGAAUCUUCUGCCUGUCUGCCUGCAGGCCCCUCUGACCUGGGGUGUAAGGGAUACCUUGGGAUUCUAAGCUUCGUUGGGAAUCUCUGUGGGUACAGGAAGGUACUACCGAUGUCCCGGCCUUGCUUCUGCUGGCUAGGAAGGGCAGCAUGGUAUUCAGAAAGUCCAUAGAGUAAGCCUGACCAAGUAGCAUAGGCAUAUAAUUCCAAGCUAUUCAGAAGGCGGAGACAGGAGGCUUGAAAGUUCAAGGUCAACUUGGGCAAGUGGGGUCACUGUUUUAAGUUAAAAGUAAAAAGAGCGCUGAGGGGUAUGGCUCAGUAGUAGAGUGCUUGCUUAGAAAUCCUUAGUGAAUGAAUGGGGGCUGGGGACAUAGUUCAGUCGUAGAGCCCCUGCCUAGAAUCCCCCAGGGAGGGGCUAGGGUGUGGCUCAGUGGUAGAGCCCCUGCCUAGAAUCCCUCAGUGAGGGGCUGGGGGCAUGGCUCAGUGGUAGAGCCCCUGCCUAGAAACCCCAGUGAGAGGCUGGAGGCGUGGCUCAGUGGUAGAUCUCCUGUCCAUCAUAAACAAAGGAAGCCUAGAGCCAGUGCUCUGUGUGCUGCACACUCAGUGCUGGGCCACAGCAGCAGCUCUUUGUCUUUGCAGGUGGAGGUGGUGCUUUUGCUGGAAUCCCAGGUAAGUUAAAGCUGCUCUCCCAAAGUUGAGAGGACACUCUGGGGCUAGAUAUGCAGAAACCUAUCCAUACCUGCCCAAUCUCUCAUGUCUCUUGUUGCAAGGUUUGUUGAAGAGUUUAAUCACACAGGCAUGAGGACCUAAGCACAAUCCCCAGAACCCAUAUUCC
rnacentral:lncRNA from 1 species